rnacentral:sRNA from 1 species
ACACACUUAAAUACAAAGGCCGGGAAGGGUCAGACCACCAUCCGGGUACUCUAAGGUACAUAAAAGAGUCCUCCCUCCCCCUCCUCCUUCACCCCCAAGUGUUUCCCACGACUGCCCUCCCCCACCUCUAGCUGACCAUGGCAUCAGAGGCAGAGAAAACAUUCCAUCGGUUUGCUGCGUUUGGAGAAUCAUCAAGCAGUGGCACUGAAAUGAACAACAAGAACUUCUCCAAGCUGUGCAAAGACUGUGGCAUCAUGGAUGGCAAGACAGUCACCUCCACGGAUGUGGACAUCGUGUUCAGCAAAGUCAAGUGAGGAGCCAAAAAUAUGGAGGUGGGGGUGAGAAGAACCUGCGAGGUAGUUGGCCACGGAAGGGUUCAUGUGGUGGAACAUUUGCAGUGGGCCUACCAAGCACCACAGGGUACCUGGCGCUGUGCUAUUCUUUGUCUUCAAGACACUCACUGAUUGAUAGGACAAAAGAGGCCAAAUCUGAGUGAUGCAAGAGUUGGACCUUGGAAGGUAGUGCAUUCAUGCUCCAAAGUUUCUGGAUUUCUGUCUAACUGAC